GGAGGCAAAGGGGGAAGAUUUAUGAUCUGGAAAACGCACUCAAAGCUUCGAAGAAAAAGAUCCAAUUAUUAGUAGCAGUGACUGGUUUUCUUAGUGUAGUUAACAUANUUAUGUUUUGUGUAUUUUGGUUGAAGUGAUGAUGUUUGAAGAGNUGGUCCCAGUGUGGUUGAACGUAGUGAGUUAAGGUCAAUGGAGUUGAAAUGUUGUGAUGUUUAGGUUGUCGCUAUAUUUCUUGUACUAAAUGAUGANAUUUUAUUUAUUAAGUAAUUGUUCAAUUUAGUCCCAGUUUUUGUUUAAGAGUUAUAAAUUUGGUCCCUAUGUUGACGACUGAUGUGUUGCUAAAGCAAUAAAACACAACAUGAU
rnacentral:lncRNA from 1 species